GAACCACGGUAGAGCUAACUCAAGACCUUCUUCCUGUGCGGUAACGGUGCUAACCACUGUGCCGCCCGCAUAAGAGGAGAGCCACUGAGGGAACGCCUUCCGCCCUUCCGACGCCUCCACCGUGACUCCACUUCUGAGAGGAAUUGCCUACAGAUCAAGCAUGGAGUGUGCCUGAAUGGACAUACAGAACUCCAAGGUUCGGCCCGGUGUUGAGGGUUUUCCCAAAGGUGAGGGCCCGGCGGGCGGUGCCUCACAGCCCUCCGCCUCUGGGAGUGGCCCAUUUCUACUAAGGAGGCAAGAGGUGGCCAGGAGUCUGUCAGCGAGUUCUGCAUGUCCUGGUGACCCUCCACCUGUUUCACAGGUCGUUGGACUGUGGCAGGAAGCCGGAGUACAAGGAAAGAACCCACGCAAAAACAGGAAGAACAUGCAAACUCCACACAGAACCACGAAGAGGAGAGCCACUGAGGGAACGCCUUCCGCCCUUCCGACGCCUCCACCGUGACUCCACUUCUGAGAGGAAUUGCCUACAGAUCAAGCAUGGAGUGUGCCUGAAUGGACAUACAGAACUCCAAGGUUCGGCCCGGUGUUGAGGGUUUUCCCAAAGGUGAGGGCCCGGCGGGCGGUGCCUCACAGCCCUCCGCCUCUGGGAGUGGCCCAUUUCUACUAAGGAGGCAAGAGGUGGCCAGGAGUCUGUCAGCGAGUUCUGCAUGUCCUGGUGACCCUCCACCUGUUUCACAGUGUCACAGGGGAACUCGAGCCUAUCCCAGCUAUCUUAGGGCGAGAAGCAGGGUACACCCUCCACAGGUCACCAGUCUGUUGCAGAGCUAACACAUAGACACAGAAAACCAUUCGCACCUGUGGGCGAUUUAGACUUUUCAACUAACCUCUUGCCACUAA